GCGGAAGUAGUUCAGUGGUAGAACAUCACCUUGCCAUGGUGGGAGUCGCGAGUUCGAAUCUCGUCUUCCGCU
rnacentral:tRNA from 1 species